UCACGGAUGGACUGUAACAGUACUGGUGGAGUCAAUUGACCCUAUUAGGUUUCUUGUUUCCUCAAAAAACAAGUGGCGAGCCUGCAA
rnacentral:sRNA from 1 species